rnacentral:lncRNA from 1 species
AUACAGUCAUUGAAUCCAACUAAAUCCUCUUCACUCGGCGACGGUUCACUGUGGCCUGCCUGGAGAUGUAGACAUUGCAGGGAGCUAGUCUGUCUGUCUGUCCUCCUAGGUGUGUCUCCAGAACAAUGUUUUCCCAUUCUGUGUUUGCACCUGGCAUGCUUCUACGAGACAGGUGCUCCUCCAUGUUUUUCCCCCCCUCUUUUUAUAUCGGUAUUUGCAGAGAGAUUAGGAGCCAUACUUUUGACUAAUACAUGGCAUUACUCAUAUCGGUGCACGCACUCAAACACAAAGGAAAACACACACGCAAGUGUGUACACCGGGCACGUUGGCACGCGCACAAACUAUCUAUCCAGUGUGUGUGUGUGUGUGUGUGUGUGUCUGUGUGUGUGUGUGUGUGUGUGUGUGUGUGUGUGUGUGUGUGUGUGUGUGUGUGUGUGUGUGUGUGUGUGUGUUGUUGUCAGGCGUCCUGCAGCCCCUCGCAGCUGUGGAGACGGCAGUGUGUCUGAGAGGUGUGUCGCCACAGGCAAAGUCCAGGGACAGGGUGACCACACAAUGUCCCACACCAAGGAUGGUUCCAGGUCACCAUCGUCAUGGAUCAGUGAUUCCAGCCCAUCAGGCAUCAUAUCCGGGUCCACCAGUUCCCAAUGCGAGUCCUGCUGUGGUGGGGAGGAGUUCGAGGGAAGUGACCAAACCAGCCAGGCCCUUACCUCCUUAAAUGACAGGGGCCCCAGCCCAGACCAGGGGGUUCCAGUGAAGGAGGAGCCUGGUUGCCCUGAUCGGGGGGAGCGAGGCUGGCCUUCCACUGGGGGCAGGAGAAGGCCCGGGAUGCUGGAGUGCAUAAUGAGGGAGAAGGAGCGAAAAAGGGAGGAGAGAAAGACAAAGGUGCUAAACAUCUACUCCAGACUCCAGGACAGCGGGCCCCUCCAGCCCAGCCGCAACAGGGGCCGCUCCAGGUUUGAGGACUGUGAGUGUAUAAGUGGAUCCAUCCACCCUCACACAUUUAAAACCCAAAACUGCCAACCGACACAUACUGAUCUGCCCACUGCCUCUUACCGUAAGGGAGCAUGUUAG